rnacentral:rRNA from 1 species
AGGACGAACGCUGGCGGCGUGCUUAACACAUGCAAGUGGAGCGACGAACCAGGGCUUGCCCUGGGGCAGAGCCGCGAACGGGUGAGUAACACGUGGGUUACCUGCCUCGAUGACCGGGACAACCCGAGGAAACUCGGGCUAAUACCGGAUGUGCCCGCAAGGGGAAAGGAAGCUUCGGCCUCCGCAUCGAGAUGGGCCCGCGGCCCAUUAGCUUGUUGGUGAGGUAACGGCUCACCAAGGCUUCGAUGGGUAGCUGGUCUGAGAGGACGAUCAGCCACACUGGGACUGAGACACGGCCCAGACUCCUACGGGAGGCAGCAGUGGGGAAUCUUGCGCAAUGCGCGAAAGCGUGACGCAGCAACGCCGCGUGGGGGAGAAGGCUUUCGGGUUGUAAACCCCUUUCAGUUGGGACGAAGCUUCGCCGGUGAAUAGCCGGCUGGAGUGACGGUACCUUCACAAGAAGCACCGGCUAACUACGUGCCAGCAGCCGCGGU